UACGUAGGGUGCAAGCGUUAAUCGGAAUUACUGGGCGUAAAGCGUGCGCAGGCGGUUUGCUAAGACAGGUGUGAAAUCCCCGGGCUUAACCUGGGAACUGCAUUUGGGACUGCAAGGCUUGAGUACGGCAGAGGGGGGUAGAAUUCCUGGUGUAGCAGUGAAAUGCGUAGAUAUCAGGAGGAAUACCGAUGGCGAAGGCAGCCCCCUGGGUCGAUACUGACGCUCAUGCACGAAAGCGUGGGGAGCAAACAGG
rnacentral:rRNA from 1 species